GACGAACGCUGGCGGCGUGCCUAAUACAUGCAAGUUGAGCGCUGAAGGUUGGUACUUGUACCAACUGGAUGAGCAGCGAACGGGUGAGUAACGCGUGGGGAAUCUGCCUUUGAGCGGGGGACAACAUUUGGAAACGAAUGCUAAUACCGCAUAAAAACUUUAAACACAAGUUUUAAGUUUGAAAGAUGCAAUUGCAUCACUCAAAGAUGAUCCCGCGUUGUAUUAGCUAGUUGGUGAGGUAAAGGCCCACCAAGGCGAUGAUACAUAGCCGACCUGAGAGGGUGAUCGGCCACAUUGGGACUGAGACACGGCCCAAACUCCUACGGGAGGCAGCAGUAGGGAAUCUUCGGCAAUGGACGAAAGUCUGACCGAGCAACGCCGCGUGAGUGAAGGAGGUUUUCGGAUCGUAAAACUCUGUUGGUAGAGAAGAACGUUGGUGAGAGUGGAAAGCUCAUCAAGUGACGGUAACUACCCAGAAAGGGACGGCUAACUACGUG
rnacentral:rRNA from 1 species